rnacentral:rRNA from 1 species
UACGUAGGGUGCAAGCGUUAAUCGGAAUUACUGGGCGUAAAGCGUGCGCAGGCGGUGAUGUAAGACAGUUGUGAAAGCCCCGGGCUCAACCUGGGAAUUGCAUUUGAGACUGAAUAGCUAGGGUGCGGAAGAGGGAAGCGGAAUUUCCGGUGUAGCGGUGAAAUGCGUAGAUAUCAGGAGGAACACCUGUGGUGUAGACAGCUUACUGGACCAUUUCUGACGCUGAGACACGAAAGCGUGGGUAGCAAACAGG